ACUACAAGAAGACCACAACAAAAGAAAAAGCCUGGACAUAAUACUAGAGGAACUUAUCCAGGAAAACUGUCCCGAGAUCCUAGAACAAGAGGGGAGAGUGGAGAUUGAAAGACUCCACAGAUCACCCCCUGUAUUUAAUCCCCAACUGGCAACACCAAGAAAUGUUAUAACCAAAUUCAAAAACAAUCAGAUGAAAGAAAAGAUAUUACAAGCUGCCAAGAAGAAGCCAUUCAGAUACCAUGGAAAUACGGUGAGGUCAACACAGGAUCUGGCUGCAUCCACACUGAAGGCAUGGAAUACAAUAUUCUGGAAAGCAACAGAACUAGGUCUACAACCAAGAAUAAAAUACCCAUCAAAACUGACUAUAUUCUUACAGGGGAAAGUAUGGUCAUUUAACACAACAGAAGAGUUCCAAGCAUUCAUAAAUAAAAGACCAGACCUGAACAGAAAAUUUGACGUCCAACCACAGAACUCAAGAGAAUCAUCAAAAGAUCCUACAACCAUAUUAGAGAAGGGAAAAGGAAAAAUAAAAACAAAAAACGGAGAACAAACACAAACAGACCUCUCGGGCAAGACCAGAGACAGGGCAGAAAACAAUACAGAGAAUUCAAGUUCAGAGAAGACCUCCACACAAAGCCAGUAGUAUCUGCUGUGUUUAAUGGACAAUUGUGAUUUAGUGUUUGUUCACCACUGGACCAGCUGCUCCCUCUGUGGUCUUUUACAACCUUGUGUUCAACCAAGAAUUGCACAGGGGUCCAGCACAUGGUGGGCUGUAGUGAGCAAUGUCCUGACACCCUGGUGUCAAUGCCCUAGUGACUUUGGAAUAUCCUCAGUCACAUCAACUAGGACAAGGGCCGAUGUCUGGCCUACUAUGGCAACUGCACGGAACUUUAGCUCAAACUCUGUACAGUCUUUUUUUUUUUAAAUCUUAUUCCUCAAAAAGGUGCUUGAUCUAAGUCAAGUGUAAGAAUAAAGGUGCAGACAUAUCAUAAAUACUGAGGGAU
rnacentral:lncRNA from 1 species